UUUGUCCUACGGGAGGCAGCAGUGGGGAGUAUUGCACAAUGGGGGAAACCCUGAUGCAGCGACGCCGCGUGAGCGGUGAAGUAUUUCGGUAUGUAAAGCUCUAUCAGCAGGGAAGAAAAUGACGGUACCUGACUAAGAAGCCCCGGCUAACUACGUGCCAGCAGCCGCGGUAAUACGUAGGGGGCAAGCGUUAUCCGGAUUUACUGGGUGUAAAGGGAGCGUAGACGGUCGUGCAAUCCAGAUGUGAAAGCCCGGGGCUCAACCCCGGGACUGCAUUUGGAACUGUA
rnacentral:rRNA from 1 species